AGAGUUUGAUCCUGGCUCAGGAUGAACGCUGGCGGCGUGCUUAACACAUGCAAGUCGAGCGAAGCACCAUCUUCGGAAGGUGACUGAGCGGCGGACGGGUGAGUAACGCGUGGUAACUCCUCCUCAUACAGGGGGAUAACAGUUAGAAAUGACUGCUAAUACCGCAUAAGCGCACAGAGCUGCAUGGCUCAGUGUGAAAAACUCCGGUGGUAUGAGAUGGACCCGCGUUGGAUUAGGCAGUUGGCGGGGUAACGGCCCCACCAAACCGACGAUCCAUAGCCGGCCUGAGAGGGUGAACGGCCACAUUGGGACUGAGACACGGCCCAAACUCCUACGGGAGGCAGCAGUGGGGAAUAUUGCACAAUGGGGGAAACCCUGAUGCAGCGACGCCGCGUGAGUGAAGAAGUAUUUCGGUAUGUAAAGCUCUAUCAGCAGGGAAGAAAAUGACGGUACCUGACUAAGAAGCCCCGGCUAACUACGUGCCAGCAGCCGCGGUAAUACGUAGGGGGCAAGCGUUAUCCGGAUUUACUGGGUGUAAAGGGAGCGUAGACGGUCUAGCAAGUCUGAUGUGAAAGGCAGGGGCUCAACUCCUGGACUGCAUUGGAAACUGUUAGUCUUGAGUGUCGGAGAGGUAAGCGGAAUUCCUAGUGUAGCGGUGAAAUGCGUAGAUAUUAGGAGGAACACCAGUGGCC
rnacentral:rRNA from 1 species